rnacentral:rRNA from 1 species
AGGGCACCACCAGGAGUGGAGCCUGCGGCUUAAUUUGACUCAACACGGGAAAACUCACCCGGCCCGGACACUGGAAGGAUUGACAGAUUGAGAGCUCUUUCUUGAUUCAGUGGGUGGUGGUGCAUGGCCGUUCUUAGUUGGUGGAGCGAUUUGUCUGGUUAAUUCCGAUAGCGAACGAGACUCUAGCCUACUAAAUAGAUCGUCGGCUUACAAACGCUGAUGAGACUUCUUAGAGGGACAGGCGGCGAUUCAGCCGCACGAAACAGAGCAAUAACAGGUCUGUGAUGCCCUUAGAUGUCCGGGGCCGCACGCGCGCUACACUGAAGUGAUCAGCGUGCAUUUUCAGCCUACUCUGCCAAGAGUGGGAAACCCAAUGAACCUUCUUCGUGAUUGGGAUAGGAGAUUGUAAUUAUUCUCCUUGAACGAGGAAUUCCCAGUAAGCGCGAGUCAUAAGCUCGCGUUGAUUACGUCCCUGCCCUUUGUACACACCGCCCGUCGCUACUACCGAUUGAAUGUUUU